GCUGUCUCAGCAGGGGAGAGGCAAGAGGGCUGCCGAGGCUGGCUGGGGCGUGCUGUCUCAAUGGUGGGGGAAGUGGUGGGGAACAAAGGCCUCCCUAAGGGCUCCAUGCCGGAUUCUAGUUUGCCGGCUAAUCAUUGUUAAAUACAUGCACAUAUUUGCUCAGAGCUUGACUGUGUUACUUCUAAUCAAUUCCUUUUUUCCUUUAAGAUCUGGAAAUCCAAUUGGCUAACACAGCAUGAGGUGAGCACAGCCAGGUCCAGGCCUGCACCGCAGUUGUGGCCACACCACAGCUGCCAAGCUGACGCAGGGAUGCCACCACACAGCCAGGGAUGGAGGCCACUUCCCCAGUGUCGGCCCAGGAUGCCAGGCAUCUGCAGAGCCUUCAUCCGGGCCGAGGCUCCCACAGGAAUGCCAACAACACAUCCUCAGGCUCCUCCCUUUGAAGCACAUGAGAGAACGGACACACCAACCCCCACUGGAAGCAGUGAACAGGGGUAUCAGCGAGACAGCAGGGACCCUUCGAGUAUGUGGAAUGUCCCAUGUCAUCCCUACAAAAGUGUGGGGCUGAGCGUCACAUCCCAGCACGGCAUAACGUCGACAGUUUCCUGCUACAAUGACCUCCAAAGGAGGCCUGAGACACAACAGAAGGUGGAGGUUACCUCCAACAUCCAACCCACCAGCACAGACAGAAGGAAGAAAGCUGGAGAAAAGGCCGAGAUGCAAAACUGACCAUGCAGAUUACUCCUUGUACCUGCCAUAAAAAUUGCAUGGAAGAGCUUGAAAGAAAAGGCGCUAAUGAGGUUUGGGGUCAUCAGCGGCUCCCUGCCUCCCCGAGAACAAUAACCAAGACUUCAUCACAUUCUCCUAAACCACGAAGGAACCAACAGCUAAAUGAUAAUGAUAAAAAAUAAUGACUAUUUCCCUGUUAAGUGCUCAUUUCAAUAUCACCCUCUGAGUAUUCUAUGUUUAUGCAUUUCAGAAACCAAAAAUUGAUCAUUUAUGAGUCAGACAGGUCCAGAUACAGGGGUGGAAACAUAAUGAAUUAAGAUGACAUGUUUACUGACUGUGUGCCAAGUGCAGAUAUAUUUUGAAAUAACCAUUGUAUCUACCAUAAUUUAGUAGAGAAAGGCCAAUUGAGCCUUCACUGCAUGAGGUCAUGUAUUAUUUCACCAAAAGUUACAUCUUAGAUUGGAAAGUAUUUAUAAAUAUUAAGCAGCACAAAAUAAUCAAGCUACUAUUCCCUGGGAAUGAAAUGCGUUUCCCCACCUCCUCCGUGCUGCCUAAGAAAUGUCGGAAGAUUCAAUACAGAAGCCAUUAUGAGAACAUAAUGUGUUUGCAGUUAGACAUUUGGAUGGAAUCCAGACCCCACCACUAACUAGGAGUUGGGUCUUCAGCUAGGCCGACCUGAGCUACCUCUGCCACAGGACAGGGACAAGCCUCUAUGCAGAAGGGCCCUCAGGAUGGAGGAUUUGAGUCUUCAGCACAGAGCCCAGCACGAGGGAAGCACUCAAAUAAUGACAAGACCCCAAGACGGAGGAUUUGAGUCUUCAGCACACAGCCCAGCACCAAGGAAGCACUCAAAUAAUGACGAGACCCCAAGACGGAGGAUUUGAGGCUUCAGCACUCAGCCCAGCACCGAGGAUGCACUCAAAUAAUGACGAGACCCCAAGAUGGAGGAUUUGAGUCUUCAGCACACAGCCCAGCACCAGGGAAGCACUCAAAUAAUGACGAGACCCCCAAGACGGAGGAUUUGAGUCUUCAGCACACAGCCCAGCACCAGGGAAGCACUCAAAUAAUACAGC
rnacentral:lncRNA from 1 species